GAGCUCUCCCUGGCUACUCAUAUACUAAAAUUGGAAUGAUACAGAGAAGAUUUGUGUGGCCCUGUACACGGAAGACACACAAAUUCAAGAAGCAUUCCAUGUUGUG